AUGGGCCAUUUCUCCUUCGGCUGGCAGGGCAAGGAGCCCGCCCCCACCGCCUCCCCGUCCGGCGCGGGUGCUACGCUGCCUCUCCAGUCCGUCCAGGGCACCGCCGCCGCGACGGUCGGCGCUGACACGGCGUACUGCCUCGACCCGGCCAUGUACGCGCCCGCAGUCCCACCCACGGUCCCGCCGCCCGUUGCGGAGGCGGCGGCGAGGAGGCGCCAGGAAGCGGAGAACAUCGCGCUCUAUCUCAUCCACAUCCUUCGCAAGUGCGCUGAAACCAUCGAGGCGGGCGACUAUGCGGCCGCGGCCGGUAAGCUCGCCGAGGCGCGCACGAUGCUCGCGACGUCUAUCUCGACGACCACCGGGAUCGGCCGCGUCGCCAGCCACUUCACUGCCGCGCUUGCCCAACGCAUCUUCCCGGCAUCACCGCACUCCUCCUUCGCGCUGGACGCCUCGCCGGAGCGCGCUCGCGAGCUCUACCGUCAGUUCUAUGACGCGGGGCCGUACCUCAAGUUCGCGCACUUCACGGCCAACCAGGCCAUCCUCGAGGCGUUUGAGGGCUGUGACCGCGUGCAUGUCGUGGAUCUCGCCAUCAAGCAGGGCAUGCAGUGGCCUGCCCUCAUCCAGGCCCUCUCCAUCCGCCCUGGCGGCCCGCCGUCCGUCCGCAUCACCGGCGUCGGAUCUGCGCCCGCCGCAGACGAAGUUGGCCUCCGCCUCGCCGAGUUCGCACGCGCCAUGAACGUCCCCUUCUCAUUUCAAAGGGUCACCGACGACAGCCUGGACCAGCUCCAGCCGUGGAUGUUCCAGGUCCUCCCUGGAGAGGCGGUGGCCGUGAACUCCAUCUGCCAGCUCCACCGCCUCCUGGUGAACCCGGACGCCGCAUCCACCUCUCUCCCCACUCCCAUCGACGUCGUGCUCGGCUGGAUCGCGUCCAUGCAGCCCAGGGUGUUCACGGUGGUGGAGCAGGAGGCGGACCACAACAAGCCGGGGCUGGUGACACGCUUCGACAAUGCCAUGUUCUACUACGGCUCCGUGCUCGACUCCAUGGAGGCCAUGUCUGUGAGCCGUGGCGGCGCCAUCGGCAACGGAGCCGGCGCCGACGCGUACGUGCAGAGGGAGAUCUUCAACAUCGUAUGCUACGAGGGCAGCGCCCGCACCGAGCGCCACGAGCCGCUGGCGUACUGGUGCGCUCGCCUCUGGCGCACGGGUUUCACCCACGUGCCACUGGGUCCGAGCGCGGCCUAUCAAGCCGCUAAGCUUGCCCGCGUGUUCUCCUGCACCGGAUUCCGCGUCCAGGAGAUCGGCGGUUGCCUCUCGCUCGCGUGGCACGAGCACCCCCUGUUCACGGUGUCCGUGUGGAGCGCAAUGCCCGCCGACGGCGCCGACACUGCCAAGGAGCACGCCGAUAAUCACAAGCUGAAGAUGAGCAUCGGCGAGAGCAGCGACAGCCACCUGCCGGACAUCGGGGCGUAG
rnacentral:rRNA from 1 species